rnacentral:rRNA from 1 species
CUACGGGUGGCAGCAGUGGGGAAUAUUGCACAAUGGGCGCAAGCCUGAUGCAGCCAUGCCGCGUGUAUGAAGGAGGCCUUCGGGUUGUAAAGUACUUUCAGCGGGGAGGAAGGGAGUAAAGUUAAUACCUUUGCUCAUUGACGUUACCCGCAGAAGAAGCACCGGCUAACUCCGUGCCAGCAGCCGCGGUAAUACGGAGGGUGCAAGCGUUAAUCGGAAUUACUGGGCGUAAAGCGCACGCAGGCGGGUUUGUUAAGUCAGAUGUGAAAUCCCCGGGCUCAACCUGGGAACUGCAUCUGAUACUGGCAAGCUUGAGUCUCGUAGAGGGGGGUAGAAUUCCAGGUGUAGCGGUGAAAUGCGUAGAGAUCUGGAGGAAUACCGGUGGCGAAGGCGGCCCCCUGGACGAAGACUGACGCUCAGGUGCGAAAGCGUGGGGAGCAAACAGGAUUAGAUACCCCGGUAGUC